rnacentral:rRNA from 1 species
AACGAACGCUGGCGGCAGGCCUAACACAUGCAAGUCGAGCGAAGCCUUCGGGCUUAGCGGCGGACGGGUGAGUAACGCGUGGGAACGUGCCCUUUGGUACGGAAUAGCCCCGGGAAACUGGGAGUAAUACCGUAUGUGGUCGAGAGACGAAAGAUUUAUCACCAAAGGAUCGGCCCGCGUUGGAUUAGGUAGUUGGUGGGGUAAUGGCCUACCAAGCCGACGAUCCAUAGCUGGUUUGAGAGGAUGAUCAGCCACACUGGGACUGAGACACGGUCCAGACUCCUACGGGAGGCAGCAGUGGGGAAUAUUGGGCAAUGGGCGAAAGCCUGACCCAGCAACGCCGCGUAAGGGAAGAAGGCCUUCGGGUUGUAAACCUCUGUCCUAGGUGACGAAACAAAUGACGGUAGCCAAGGAGGAAGCCCCGGCUAACUACGUGCCAGCCGCCGCAGUAAUAC